rnacentral:piRNA from 1 species
UAAAGCACUUUGGAGUGAUGAUGGCUGUG